CUGGCACAAAAACCACUUCAUUGAGCUGAAGUGGUCUGGGUGACUAUAGUGACCCUUUAACGUUUUUAGGUAUACAAAUGGUUAAAAAAAUCCAGGUGAGGCGGAAACUACAUCCAACAGUUAGGGAGAGAGGAGAUGAAAUGGGUUCAAACACUGGAAACUCUUGAACCUAAAGGACUUAAUAUUGAAUUUGAUUUAUAUAAUUCCUUUUAAUUUUCUAAUCAGUUUUUGUAAU